GAUGAACGCUGGCGGCGUGCCUAAUACAUGCCAGUCGAGCGAACAGACGAGGAGCUUGCUCCUCUGACGUUAGCGGCGGACGGGUGAGUAACACGUGGAUAACCUACCUAUAAGACUGGGAUAACUUCGGGAAACCGGAGCUAAUACUGGAUAAUAUAUUGAACCGCAUGGUUCAAUAGUGAAAGACGGUUUUGCUGUCACUUAUAGAUGGAUCCGCGCCGCAUUAGCUAGUUGGUAAGGUAACGGCUUACCAAGGCAACGAUGCGUAGCCGACCUGAGAGGGUGAUCGGCCACACUGGAACUGAGACACGGUCCAGACUCCUACGGGAGGCAGCAGUAGGGAAUCUUCCGCAAUGGGCGAAAGCUUGACGGAGCAACGCCGCGUGAGUGAUGAAGGUCUUCGGAUCGUAAAACUCUGUUAUUAGGGAAGAACAAAUGUGUAAGUAACUAUGCACGUCUUGACGGUACCUAAUCAGAAAGCCACGGCUAACUACGUG
rnacentral:rRNA from 1 species